rnacentral:rRNA from 1 species
AGUGAACGCUGGCGGUAGGCCUAACACAUGCAAGUCGAACGGCAGCACAGGAGAGCUUGCUCUCUGGGUGGCGAGUGGCGGACGGGUGAGGAAUACAUCGGAAUCUACUCUGUCGUGGGGGAUAACGUAGGGAAACUUACGCUAAUACCGCAUACGACCUACGGGUGAAAGCAGGGGACCUUCGGGCCUUGCGCGAUUGAAUGAGCCGAUGUCGGAUUAGCUAGUUGGCGGGGUAAAGGCCCACCAAGGCGACGAUCCGUAGCGGGUCUGAGAGGAUGACCAUCCACACUGGGUCUAAGACACGGUCCAGACUCCUACGGGAGGCAGCAGUGGGGAAUAUUGGACGAUGGGCGCAAGCCUGAUCCAGCCAUACCGCGUGGGUGAAGAAGUCGUUCGGGUUGUAAAGCCCUUUUGUUGGGAAAGAAAUCCAGCUGGCUAAUACUCGGUUGGGAUGACGGUACCCAAAGAAUAAGCACCGGCUAACUUCGUGGCAGCAGCCGCCGUAA